GUACCUCCCAACAGUGCCUCAAUUUACCAACCUUUCAUUUCCCCUGCAUUUUGGGCUUAACAGACCAACCAAAAUGGACUUUGUCAUUUGCUCUACUUAGUGAGUUAAAUACAUUCCAGGUUCUGAGCAAAUACGCAUAGCGUACUUUCCCUCAUAAGCAAGAUUCCUUUGGGAUGAAGUUACUGCAACAACGUGGCUGGGUCUCUGAGUCAUCACGCCGAGUGAAGCAAGCCAGACCAAAAAGGGACGUGCUGCCUGACCCAUCCGCGUCAAUUCCAGAAGGUGCAAAGGACCCACUGUGGCAGGAAGUGGGCAAGUGGGGUCGUGUUCAUGACCUUCACAGGGCGCUGCUCCCACGGGGUCUCGAGACUCAUCCAGUUGUAUACGUCACAGGUGAAUUGGUAACAUUACUGGAAAUAUUUUUAUGACCUGAAGGAAAUGUUAUUUUUUCAAACUUUCAACAAUCAAAUACUUCAUGGGAAAUUAACGCGUGUUGCAAACAUUAAAACAAUUCAUUAAAUAGG